AGUUUGAUCCUGGCUCAGAACGCACGUUCGCGGCGUGGAUCAAGCAUGCAAGUCGAGCGCCGCAGCAAUGCGGAGCGGGCGAACGGGGCAGUAAAGCAUGGGUAACCUACCCUGGGGAUCGGGAUAGCCAUUCUAAACGGAUGGGUAAGCCCGGGCGACAUUGAGCGGGCCGCAUGGCGGCUCAAGAGAGUGAAGGCCACAGGAGGGGCUCAUGUCGUAUUAGCUAGUUGGUGGGGUAACGGCCCACCAAGGGCGACGAUGCGUAGGGGUGUGAGAGCCACGACCCGCGUCACUGGCACUGAGACACUGGCCAGACUUCUACGGGAGGCUGCAGUCGAGGAUCUUCGGCAAUGGGGGCAACCCUGACCGAGCGACGGCGGGUGGACGACGAAGGCCUUCGGGUUGUAAAGUCCAAAGGUACCAAGGAAGAUUGACUGAGGUACAGUAAGCACGGGCUAAGUUCGUGCCAGCAGCCGCGGUAAGGCGAACCGUGCAAA
rnacentral:rRNA from 1 species